AACGCACAUUGCGCCUUCUGGUAUUCCGGAAGGCAUGCUUGUUUGAGUAUCAGUAACAACCUCAGCCAAGUUUUUUGUCGCUUCUGGCGCGGAAAGCAACAGCUGGAUUUGAGCAAAGUCCCUUGGGAUUUCAAUUCGACGACCUUCGGGGAGGCAAUUGAGCCGUGAGGGAUGCUUGAAAUACAGGUUCGGGCUGACCAACUGUCCUGGGCUACAAGCAUUUCAUACUUGAUCCCGUUAAACGGAUCAUUUCCAUUGCUGCAGCCAUCACAAACAGGAUCAAACGUGUCCAGUGUUUCCGACUGAUGCAGGAAGUUGGAGCCAACACAGAGCGAUCUGUGUAGGUUCUUUCUAACUCGAUCUCAAAUCAAGUAAGACUACCCGCUGAACUUAA
rnacentral:misc_RNA from 1 species